AUUGAACGCUGGCGGCAUGCCUUACACAUGCAAGUCGAACGGCAGCACGGGUGCUUGCACCUGGUGGCGAGUGGCGAACGGGUGAGUAAUACAUCGGAACAUGUCCUGUAGUGGGGGAUAGCCCGGCGAAAGCCGGAUUAAUACCGCAUACGAUCCACGGAUGAAAGCGGGGGACCUUCGGGCCUCGCGCUAUAGGGUUGGCCGAUGGCUGAUUAGCUAGUUGGUGGGGUAAAGGCCUACCAAGGCGACGAUCAGUAGCUGGUCUGAGAGGACGACCAGCCACACUGGGACUGAGACACGGCCCAGACUCCUACGGGAGGCAGCAGUGGGGAAUUUUGGACAAUGGGCGAAAGCCUGAUCCAGCAAUGCCGCGUGUGUGAAGAGGGCCUUCGGGUUGUAAAGCACUUUUGUCCGGAAAGAAAUCCUUGACUCUAAUACAGUCGGGGGAGGACGGUACCGGAAGAAUAAACACCGGCUAACUACGU
rnacentral:rRNA from 1 species